rnacentral:rRNA from 1 species
GAUGAACGCUGGCGGCGUGCUUAACACAUGCAAGUCGAACGGAGAUUAUACGCAGAGGCGAUUUCGGUCAAAUCAUGUAAAAUCUUAGUGGCGGACGGGUGAGUAACGCGUGGGUAACCUGCCUUACACUGGGGGAUAACACUUAGAAAUAGGUGCUAAUACCGCAUAAGCGCACGAAGCCGCAUGGAUUUGUGUGAAAAACUCCGGUGGUGUAAGAUGGACCCGCGUCUGAUUAGCUUGUUGGCGGGGUAACGGCCCACCAAGGCGACGAUCAGUAGCCGGCCUGAGAGGGUGGACGGCCACAUUGGGACUGAGACACGGCCCAA